rnacentral:rRNA from 1 species
GACGAACGCUGGCGGCGUGCUUAACACAUGCAAGUCGAGCGGUAAGGCCCUUUCGGGGGUACACGAGCGGCGAACGGGUGAGUAACACGUGGGUGACCUGCCCUCAGCUCUGGGAUAAGCCUGGGAAACCGGGUCUAAUACUGGAUAUGACUCCAUGACGCAUGUUGUGGGGUGGAAAGCCUUGUGCGGCUGAGGAUGGGCCCGCGGCCUAUCAGCUUGUUGGUGGGGUGANGGCCUACCAAGGCGACGAUGGGUAGCUGGUCUGAGAGGAUGGUCAGCCACACUGGGACUGAGAUACGGCCCAGACUCCUACGGGAGGCAGCAGUCGAGAGGCUUUGGCAAUGGGGGAAACCCUGACCAAGCGACGCCGCGUGGGGAUGAAGGCCCUUGGGUUGUAAACCCCUUUGUUGGGGAAGAAAUGCGACCAGGUGAACAAUCUGAUCGUUUGACGGUACCCGACGAAUAAGCUCCGGCUAACUCCGUGCCAGCCGCCGCAGUAAC